ensembl:lncRNA
CCUUACUCACUAUUUCCUAGCUCUUACUUCAUAGCCCCUAUACCCUACUCCCUAGCCCUUACUCACUAUUCCCUAGCUCUUACUUCAUAGCCCCUAUACCCUACUCCCUAGCCCUUACUCACUAUUUCCUAGCUCUUACACUCUAGCCCCUACUCCCUAGCCCUUACUCACUAUCCCCUAGCUCUUACUCUCUAGCCCCUACUCCCCAACUACUCCUGUAGAUCUGUGCGGAUUGGAUGGAUACAAGCAUUAUGGUAAUACCUUCAUCUUGCCUUCUGAUUGGCCUAGUGAAAAUGUUGUCGUAUUGCUUCUACCUAUCCAAUCCUCUUAGAUCUGCAAGGGUGGCUAGGGAAUAGGGGGUUCAUUUGGAAUUCAGCACACAUAAGGUGGUUGAAUAACUGAUUUCAAAUAUUGUAGGUGAAACUGGGAUGUCCCAUGUAUGUUUGGUACAAGACAUGGGUUAUUUUAUUCACCACUGUCCAAUAUUGAUGUGCAGUAAGAAUUUCAUACAGAACGCUGGUACAGUGAUAUUCAUUAUGGUCCUUUGCCUGUACUUUACACAGAUGUGACCAUGAUUUCUCCAAACACCCUGAGAGAUACCACAAAUACAGCCCAGCGCAGGUGGAGGAGAUGAUUGAGAGACUAUUUGAUAUCUCAGCCUGAGGUUGAGAACCUGCUUAGUUAGGAGAUAAUAUAAGGCCUUCACACUGCCUCUAUAGCAAAUAACACACUAUUAAUUUGUUUCCACACUACUAAUACUACAGCUUCAGUCCCCAUUACAUGUAUUCAUUAGAGUUCUAAGCCUCUAUUCUGGGGGAUUAUAUCACUACAGUCCCCAUUACAUGUAUUCAUUAGAGUUCUAGGCCUCUAUUCUGGGGGAAUUAUAGCACUUCAGUCCCCAUUACAUGUAUUCAUUAGAGUUCUAGGCCUCUAUUCUGGGGGAUUAUAGCACUACAGUCUCCAUUACAUGUAUUCAUUAGAGUUCUAGGCCUCUAUUCUGGGGGAUUAUAGCACUACAGUCCCCAUUACAUGUAUUCAUUAGAGUUCUAGGCCUCUAUUCUGGGGGAUUAUAGCACUACAGUCCCCAUUACAUGUAUUCAUUAGAGUUCUAGGCCUCUAUUCUGGGGGAUUAUAUUACUACAGUCCCCAUUACAUGUAUUCAUUAGAGUUCUAGGCCUCUAUUCUGGGGGAUUAUAGCACUACAGUCCCCAUUACAUGUAUUCAUUAGAGCCCUAAUUGCUAAAUGUAUUAUUACACAUAUGACUGGCUAGUUCUAAACAUGUUUAAAUAAAUAUUGUUAAAGCCCUACUUCAGAAUAAACACAUCUAGUUAUUUUACCCAGAAAUGCAAAACAACUAGCUUUUUGUUUGUGCUUGCAAAACUUCUGAAGACCCAAAUACACCAAUAUUUUUUAAAAUGGUUGUUAAAAGCGAAUAAAGAAUUUAUGACCAGAAAUCUAAUUGGUUGAUCUUACAUUGAGAACCAAAGGAGAAAUAUAAAAUGACGACUGCAUAAACAAUGAGAAUGGUGAGAUAGAUACAGAAACAGAUCAAGUCCACUUUGUUGGCAAAGCGAUGGUGUAUAGCAUUUUUCUGGUCUUGUGCAGCCAUUUUGUUGAGAAACUUCACCACCUUCUGGAGGGCUGUAUUCUUCUCUUCCGCUGAGGCUUUAAUAUCAGACUUGGAUUCUAGACAAAGUAAAUGAGAGGAAAAAGGAUAACCUAAUAUUAAUAUAACAUGAUUAAAUAAAGAUGUACAAAUUGACAGUUUUCAGUGACAGAUGAAAGAUCAAAUGGAGUAGCUGUCCAGACCAGCGUAAACGCCAGACAAAUGAUGCUAACAAGAAAAGAUGCUGGGAAAGACGUCAACUGCAUGCUUUAACUGCAGCUAAAGGUGAGUCUUUGGACUUGGAGAGGCUGCAGGGCCAGAGAGUGCCACACUUAGCCAGGCGUGUGAGCACCAUAGACUGCAACGUGCUCAACACCAGGAUGACCAAACAGAAACAGAAGUGCUUUCCUAUGGAGAACAACAAGAGAGAUGUGAUACUCACGGAUGAUGGGGCUGCACUGGCCUCCUCCAGGCAGUAGGUCGUUGAGGAUGAUGAGGAACAUGAUGAAGCUGAGAACCAGUGUAACCUUGAAUGAGAUACGCUCGCCCCUCCCAGUGGCAGGGAGAAGCUCACCACAUCUGCCACAAUGAUCAGUAUACUGGGCAGGACCAGGGACAGAAACGGGUUUUCAGACCGCAUUUUCAGCGACACCUGUGAAGACAGAUGGCGGUGGCUAAAGUGAUGACAUGAUGACUCCUUGCUGUCCCCAGUCCACCUGACCGUGCUGCUGCUCCAGUUUCAACUGUUCUGCCUUAUUAUUAUACGACCAUGCUGGUCAUUUAUGAACAUUUGAACAUCUUGGCCAUGUUCUGUUAUAAUCUCCACCCGGCACAGCCAGAAGAGGACUGGCCACCCCACAUAGCCUGGUUCCUCUCUAGGUUUCUUCCUAGGUUUUGGCCUUUCUAGGGAGUAUUUCCUAGCCACCGUGCUGCUACACCUGCAUUGCUUGCUGUUUGGGGUUUUAGGCUGGGUUUCUGUACAGCACUUUGAGAUAUCAGCUGAUGUACGAAGGGCUAUAUAAAUCAAUUUGAUUUGAUUUGUUAGUAGUUGUUGUUCAGAGAGAACUGAACCAUGGGUUAAUGUUUCUCCAGGCCCAUAGACUACUUUAAGGGUGACGAACCAUCUAACAUCAAGUUGUAAAAUCAUGAACUUCCCCAAUAAGGCUAAAGCUUAAGGAGUAAUCAAAUAAAAAUAUGGAUUUCUAGUGUUCUUGCUUUCAGCAUACACACUAAUAAAACACUGCCUCCUCUCAUGGUGUUUCAUACCGCUCAGAACAUAGUGUUUGUCUUCCACUCUUUUAUAACACCCCCAGUUCUCAUGUCUAUCGUCAUGCAAUACUGCUAAAACCAUUCACCCCAGUAUCUGUUAUGUUUAUAUAAUUCUUAUUCGUGCUUAACUUAUUUACCUUAUUUAAUGUGGGAGAUAGCUUAAGCCUACAUUAAAG